rnacentral:misc_RNA from 1 species
ACCAUUUCUAUUCCAGAUCUUAUCAACUUAAACAUCAAUCAAUGCAGGUGUUUCCAAUAGGCCUAUUCCCCUUAAAUGAAAGCAUCCUCGUUUCAUUUCCACUAUGGCAUUAUUCUGCAUCUCUUUCUAGCUAAGAUCACCCUCCAUUGAUCUACCCUGGAGGAAACCUUUCCUUUCCUCUCCUCUCCUUCUUGGGCUUGCCUUGCCUUGCCAAGAAAU